AAGAUCCUCUCGCUCAGGACUCCGCAGAGCUCCGGAGCCUUAACCCGAAAACUGGGGAUGUCUGAGAAAAAGAAAGUGGGGUUCAUCCAGAAAUUGAACCCGCGACUUUUCGCACCCACAGCGAGAAUCAUACCCCUAGACCAGCGAGCCGGCGCCUAACUAGCUCCUGACGUCUGUCUUUGGAGGCCUGAGACCGCGGCUCCGCCCUCCGAUCCUGGGCCGAGUUCUGGCAGCCGGGCCCCGCAGGGACUUGCGCCGGAGGAGGUUUCGGUUUCGAUUCCAGAUGCAGCGCUGCCGGAACCUCACGGAGAGGGGGGUCCCGCACACUAAGGCCCUAGAACCGCAGAGCCAGACUCCCCCAGGCCACGAGGGCCACCCACGAGGGACAGGCGACCAGGAGGAGGAGGGAGUCCCUGUGGCCCGGCUUUUUAUUCUCCUCACCCAGAUCCGGGACCGUCAGGAUCCACUCCGGGCAGACUCUCCAGGUCACUGCUGACACGUCAUCCAGAUCCUACAGAAGCAGUCCCAGUACUUUCCCAAGCCUGAAACCCUCACCAGGUGGAAGAAGUUAACUGUAGAUUGCCCAAAAGCACGUACGUAGACCCCAGACCAGUUGGAACCAGAAGGUUGAUGAUGUUGACUCCCGAUUACCUCACCACCAACCAGUCAGAAGAAUGUCCAUGAGCUGAUCACACACCCCACAACCCCCAUCCCUCACCUUGUGUUUAAAAACCUUUCCCUGAAAGCCAUCUGGGGAGUUCGGGCCUUUUGAGCGCUAGCUUACUGGACUCCUUGCGCAA